UUUUUUUUUCUCUUCACGCUCCUAGUCAAGCGGACCUACCGAGCAGCUACGCAUUUAAAGCAGCCGGACGGCUCAGCUGUGAGACCUGCAGACGUCUCGAUGCACAGAGGGAGCUCUCACCCCCAGCAGGGUCCCAGCGGAAAGCAGAAGCGGGGUGGGGGCCGGGGGGUUGACGAACAACGCGGACGUCUGCAUCCUGUCCGCGCCCACCGCGCCAACUGGGUGGGGAGGAGGUCUUAUCACGUGCCCGUGGGCGCGGCUGGGACCCGGCGAUUACGGAGGCCCGCCCUCCUUCGCCGGAGCCGCCGAGGCCGACCGGAGGCCGCAAAAUUCGCGCACGGAGCCGGCGGGGAGCGUUUCUCUCGACGCCAGAGCCUCGUGCAUUAUUAAAAGUCCAAUUACACACAAAGGCACCGCGCUCGACAGAUGGUACCGCAGGCCAGGGAUGCAGGGAUGAGAAGGCUCGGUUCCAAGGAGCGGCUCUAUCGUAGUACCCGCGAGCAAGGUACUUCAAAUGCCAGCUGAUGAAUAAUGGUGAAGCAUCACGCCCACGAGGAGAAAACUAAGAAGGAAACAUCGGGGUUAUGGUAAAGUCACCGAAGUUAAUCCCCUUGGGGUUCCUGUGGUUUUGGCUUCCUGCAGGAGCCUCUUUGAGUCUUCAAAUUGAGCCACGGCAAACCGUCUAGAAAGAGCUAAUGCUGGAAUCCUCCCCACACUCCUCAUGAUUGACCAUGGUAUCAUCAUCACCAUCAUCAUCAUCAGGACAACAUGAUGCUCCAGGGUGCAGCCUUGUUUUUUUUUUUUAAUCUCAGCUUCUCAGCAGACACAUGAAUCCAAACUGAACUGCACACCACUAGCUAAGCUUCACUGGACCAACAAGAACUGGGCCAGCCCAAGGACCUGAACAAUGAACCUCUGACAACUAGAAUACCUUCUGACCAAAAAUCGGGGUGGAGGUAUGAGGAUCCUCUGAACAGACCUGCCCUGCCACCACCGAGGUGGAAAUGCUUGCUUUGAGGGAGUAACCUUCUGGAGGACUGAGACAGAGAAACUUCAAAUAUCAUCUCUCAAGAAGAUGUUAAGGGCAUCUUCAGAUGAGCAACCCAAAAAUCCCAACGAAGAGGCAGAGAUGGUCUGACGAAGGAGCGACCUGCAUCUCCGCCCUGAAAACAAGAGCCUUGGCAGGUUUGUGUUCACUCCUGCCAACGUUAAUGAGGUUAACUGAUGCGUACACCCAUGAACCUGGGGAUCCAUCCACCACUCACCACCGGUCCCUUCAUCUACAUUCAUCAUCAAUCCAUCCACUUGUUCCCUCCAUUCCCACCCAAAAGAUGUUAACAGGUCUGAGUGACAAUACAUCCACUUAUCCACCGGUCCUCCUACACACCAACCACACCAUCCAUGCAUUCCCUCCCUCCAUUUCCAUUCGAAAGAUGUCAACAGGUGCGAGUGACAAUACAGCCCUCCCUCAGCCCUCCA